rnacentral:rRNA from 1 species
AUUGAACGCUGGCGGCAUGCUUUACACAUGCAAGUCGAACGGCAGCGCGGGCUUCGGCCUGGCGGCGAGUGGCGAACGGGUGAGUAAUGCAUCGGAACGUGCCCAGUAGUGGGGGAUAGCCCGGCGAAAGCCGGAUUAAUACCGCAUACGACCUGAGGGUGAAAGCGGGGGACCGAAGGGCCUCGCGCUAUGGGAGCGGCCGAUGUCGGAUUAGCCAGUUGGUGGGGUAAAGGCUUACCAAGGCGACGAUCCGUAGCUGGUCUGAGAGGACGAUCAGCCACGCUAGAACGGAGACCCCGUCCCGGGGCCUACGGGAGGCCCCAGUCUGGCACGGUGGACAGUGGGCGCCAGCAUGCUCCAGCGCUGCCGCGCCUGUGGAGACGGCCCUGGGUUUGGAAAGAGUGUUAUGGCGGGCGAAAGGGCUGUCGCCUACUACCAGGCUGGUCUGACGGUAGCGGGAAAAGAAGCACCGGCUAACUUCGUG